rfam:Triticum aestivum genome assembly, contig: Triticum_aestivum_CS42_TGACv1_scaffold_052418_1BS
CAAAUACUCCCUCCGUCCGGAAAAUACUUGUCAUCAAAAUGGAUAAAAGGAAAUGUAUCUAGACGUAUUUUAGUUUUAGAUACAUCUAUUUUUAUCCAUUUUGAUGACAAGUAUUUUCGGACGGAGGGAUUAGAAA